rnacentral:rRNA from 1 species
CGCCUGGGGAGUACGGCCGCAAGGUUAAAACUCAAAUGAAUUGACGGGGGCCCGCACAAGCGGUGGAGCAUGUGGUUUAAUUCGACGCAACGCGAAGAACCUUACCUGGCCUUGACAUCCAGAGAACUUUCCAGAGAUGGAUUGGUGCCUUCGGGAACUCUGAGACAGGUGCUGCAUGGCCGUCGUCAGCUCGUGUCGUGAGAUGUUGGGUUAAGUCCCGUAGCGAGCGCAACCCCUAUCCCUGGUUGCUAGCAGGUAAUGCUGAGAACUCCAGGGAGACUGCCGGUGACAAACCGGAGGAAGGUGGGGAUGACGUCAGGUCAUCAUGGCCCUUAUGGCCAGGGCUACACACGUGCUACAAUGGCGCGUACAGAGGGCUGCCAACUCGCGAGAGUGAGCCAAUCCCUUAAACCGCGUCGUAGUCCGGAUCGGAGUCUGCAACUCGACUCCGUGAAGUCGGAAUCGCUAGUAAUCGCGAAUCAGAAUGUCGCGGUGAAUACGUUCCCGGGCCUUGUACACACCGCCCGUCACACCAUGGGAGUGGAUUGCACCAGAAGUAGUUAGUCUAACCUUCGGGAGGACGAUUACCACGGUGUGGUUCAUGACUGGGGUGAAGUCGUAACAAGGUAACCGUA